UACAGAGGGGGCAAGCGUUGUUCGGAAUUACUGGGCGUAAAGCGCGCGUAGGCGGUUACUCAAGUCGGAUGUGAAAGCCCUCGGCUUAACUGAGGAAGUGCACCCGAAACUGAGUAGCUAGAGUACUAAAGAGGGUCGCGGAAUUCCCGGUGUAGAGGUGAAAUUCGUAGAUAUCGGGAGGAACACCGGUGGCGAAGGCGGCGACCUGGGUAGAUACUGACGCUGAGGCGCGAAAGCGUGGGGAGCAAACAGG
rnacentral:rRNA from 1 species